GGGUGAUGUAAGUCAUUGGAAAGCAGAGAUCCUGCUUCUGCUUUACACUUUUAUUAUGGAGGAAACAGGGGCUCCGGGGACUGGAACAAUUAGGAGACUUGAAAACCAGUGUGCCACACACCAGGGACGACAGCAGUCUGGCACCCCCAGAGGCACAGGAUGGGUGAACGGGAGCAUCCUGUGUCUGCCUGUCUGUCUACCUGUCAGCGCACAAGAAGCUCUCAUGACCGGUGCCAUUGCUGUUUUUAUUUGCUCUUUAUAGACCUACGUGACAGUGGAGUGUAUUUUGAGUUUGGUUGGCUCCUUGUUAGGAAGUUCUUCAACAACAGUGCUAAAAAGCUCAUGAGUAUCCUCUGCAUCGGCGUUCAAUUCAAGCUGUUCUCCAAUCACUGAUACCUUGCUACUUACCCUUUGAUCAACAGCAAAAUCCUGGGUAAAGCCUUUGAAUGUGCUCACAGAUGCCUUCAAGACUUUCUUCCAAAUGCCAUCAUGAAUUGCCGUGUGAUUUCUCCCCAUGCCGCAGUGAUGUUCUGGAUAAGAUUUAGAAUAUCAAAACUUUUCCAAAGCUCUCAGAGCCUUUGGCUAGAUUCAGUGACUUCAAUAACUUCCAUAAACAUUUGGCAUAUAAAUUAUAGCAUGAGCUGAACAAUGAACCAAAACUGUGGUGUCUUGGACUAAUGAGUGUGACUGUGUUCAGUGGCAAACACACAGUCUAUAUAUUGGGAUGCGUGUGAUUGAUAUAAUGUGAAUGCCCCAGAGCAUUUUCUGAAAUCAGAGGAACCUUGAGUGGCAUGUUGUUUUGCCUACAAUAUUCUGUGGCCUGUAGAUAAAACAGUUCAAAAAUAGUCUUCAAAACUUGCCAACCUCGU